AUUCAGAGUUCAGUCAGUCAAUGAUUUCACAAUUCCACGCUACAGGAUUAAUUUCACGAGUUCAGGUUUUCACGAUUCGCUAGAAUGACAAUUGCAAAACCUUAUAUGAGAAUAUAUUCUGUCCAAGAAAAACGGAAUCAAUAUACUUACACAUAUGUGCUGUCCUGAAGAUAAAAUCAUUCGAAUUCCGGAUUCAUUUUUUAA